CCUACGGGGGGCUGUAGUGAGGAAUAUUGGUCAAUGGACGAGAGUCUGAACCAGCCAAGUAGCGUGAAGGAUGACUGCCCUAUGGGUUGUAAACUUCUUUUAUAUGGGAAUAAAACGUUCCACGUGUGGGAUUUUGUAUGUAACAUAUGAAUAAGGAUCGGCUAACUCCGUGCCAGCAGCCGCGGUAAUACGGAGGAUCCGAGCGUUAUCCGGAUUUAUUGGGUUUAAAGGGAGCGUAGGUGGAUUGUUAAGUCAGUUGUGAAAGUUUGCGGCUCAACCGUAAAAUUGCAGUUGAAACUGGCAGUCUUGAGUACAGUAGAGGUGGGCGGAAUUCGUGGUGUAGCGGUGAAAUGCUUAGAUAUCACGAAGAACUCCGAUUGCGAAGGCAGUUCACUGGACUGCAACUGACACUGAGGCUCGAAAGUGUGGGUAUCAAACAGGAUUAGAUACCCGAGUAGUC
rnacentral:rRNA from 1 species